rnacentral:lncRNA from 1 species
CCUGGCUGCUGCACAGGUGUUGUGCAUGUGGAGCCUAUCAAAGGGUGGGGUUGGGCAUCAAGCCCCAGCUGGUAGUCCUCGUUAUUGCAGUGCAGGAGGGAGGCCUGGGGGCAGAGGUGGUUAUGCUUGAAGAGGAGGAUGGGUGCCUUGCUGCCUGCCUGCCCGCCCGCCAGGAUGUGCAGUGCCUGGGAGAUCUUUCUCAGGGUAAACUUCCAGUCACAUAUAAAGCAAACAAACAAACCAAAAAACCCACAAACAACGAGAUGCUGGUCUUUCACAUGUAUCAGAAAUAAGGAGCAGAAAUCAAAUGUCUCAUGCCAGUCUGGAACUGAAUGGUCCUGGACUCCUCAAGUGAGAUUGUAUUCUUUGUGCUUCACAUAUUGUGAUAAAAGAAGAUGAUUGCAAGUUCAAAGACCCAACGAGAUGUGCAUGACGUAUCAUCUUCCUCAGUCUACAGAUUGUAGAGAGGGACAAUCCACAAAAAUGACAGGUUCACACGCCUGCUUAGUUGUGAAAGUGGUCUCGGUUCUCCCAAGAUCUAGUGCAUUGCUUUCAUUUCAAGACUCUUCUUC